rnacentral:rRNA from 1 species
CUCGUAGGCGGUCUGUUGCGUCCGCUGUGAAAACUCGGGGCUUAACCCCGAGCCUGCAGUGGAUACGGGCAGACUAGAGGUAGGUAGGGAGAAUGGAAUUCCCGGUGUAGCGGUGAAAUGCGCAGAUAUCGGGAGGAACACCGGUGGCGAAGGCGGUUCUCUGGGCCUUACCUGACGCUGAGGAGCGAAAGCGUGGGGAGCGAACA